rnacentral:rRNA from 1 species
UUAGAGUUUGAUCCUGGCUCAGGACGACUUUUGGCGGCGUGCCUAACACAUGCAAGUCGAACGGAACGCUUAUCAUUGAGACUUCGGUUGAUUUGAUAAGUUUUUUAGUGGCGGACGGGUGAGUAACGCGUGAGUAACCUGCCUUUAAGAGGGGGAUAACAUACCGAAAGGUAUGCUAAUACCGCAUGACAUAUUGGGAUCGCAUGUUUCCGAUAUCAAAGAUUUUAUCGCUUAAAGAUGGACUCGCGUCCGAUUAGAUAGUUGGUGAGGUAACGGCCCACCAAGUCAACGAUCGGUAGCCGGACUGAGAGGUUGAACGGCCACAUUGGGACUGAGACACGGCCCAGACUCCUACGGGAGGCAGCAGUGGGGGAUAUUGCGCAAUGGGGGCAACCCUGACGCAGCAACGCCGCGUGAAGGAAGAAGGUCUUCGGAUUGUAAACUUUUGUCUUAUGGGACGAAUAAAUGACGGUACCAUAGGAGGAAGCCACGGCUAACUACGUGCCAGCAGCCGCGGUAAUACGUAGGUGGCAAGCGUUGUCCGGAAUUACUGGGUGUAAAGGGUGCGUAGGCGGCUAAGCAAGUCAGAUGUGAAAUCUAUGGGCUCAACCCAUAGCCUGCAUUUGAAACUGUUUAGCUUGAGUGAGGUAGAGGCAGGCGGAAUUCCCGGUGUAGCGGUGAAAUGCGUAGAGAUCGGGAGGAACACCAGUGGCGAAGGCGGCCUGCUGGGCCUUAACUGACGCUGAGGCACGAAAGCGUGGGUAGCAAACAGGAUUAGAUACCCUGGUAGUCCACGCUGUAAACGAUGAUUACUAGGUGUGGGUGGACUUGACCCCCUCCCGUGCCGCAGUUAACACAAUAAGUAAAUCCCCUUGGGGAGUACGGCCGCAAGGUUGAAACUCAAAGGAAUUGACGGGGGCCCGCACAAGCAGUGGAGUAUGUGGUUUAAUUCGAAGCAACGCGAAGAACCUUACCAGGUCUUGACAUCGAGUGAGGAAUCUAGAGAUAGAUUUUUCCUUCGGGACACGAAGACAGGUGGUGCAUGGUUGUCGUCAGCUCGUGUCGUGAGAUGUUGGGUUAAGUCCCGCAACGAGCGCAACCCUUGCUAUUAGUUGCUACGCAAGAGCACUCUAAUAGGACUGCCGUUGACAAAACGGAGGAAGGUGGGGACGACGUCAAAUCAUCAUGCCCCUUAUGACCUGGGCUACACGCGUACUACAAUGGCCGUUAACAAAGGGAAGCAAUACCGCGAGGUGGAGCAAACCCCCAAAAACGGUCCCAGUUCGGAUUGUAGGCUGCAACCCGCCUAUAUGAAGUUGGAAUUGCUAGUAAUCGUGGAUCAGAAUGCCACGGUGAAUACGUUCCCGGGCCUUGCACACAAGGCCCGUCA